GCAUAUCAAUAAGCGGAGGAAAAGAAACCAACAGGGAUUGCCUUAGUAGCGGCGAGUGAAGCGGCAAAAGCUCAAAUUUGAAAUCUGGCUCUUUCAGAGUCCGAGUUGUAAUUUGAAGAAGGUAUCUUUGGGUCUGGCUCUUGUCUAUGUUUCUUGGAACAGAACGUCACAGAGGGUGAGAAUCCCGUGCGAUGAGAUGAUCCAGGCCUAUGUAAAGUUCCUUCGAAGAGUCGAGUUGUUUGGGAAUGCAGCUCUAAGUGGGUGGUAAAUUCCAUCUAAAGCUAAAUAUUGGCGAGAGACCGAUAGCGAACAAGUACAGUGAUGGAAAGAUGAAAAGAACUUUGAAAAGAGAGUGAAAAAGUACGUGAAAUUGUUGAAAGGGAAGGGCUUGAGAUCAGACUUGGUAUUUUGUAUGUUACUUCUUCGGGGGUGGCCUCUACAGUUUAUCGGGCCAGCAUCAGUUUGGGCGGUAGGAGAAUUGCGUUGGAAUGUGGCACGGCUUCGGUUGUGUGUUAUAGCCUUCGUCGAUACUGCCAGCCUAGACUGAGGACUGCGGUUUAUACCUAGGAUGUUGGCAUAAUGAUCUUAAGUCGCCCGUCUUGAAACACGACACGGACC
rnacentral:rRNA from 1 species